AUCUCUUCUCGGCCUUUUGGCUAUGAUCGAGUGUAGUAUCUGUUCUUGUCAGUUUAAAUGAGCCUCUUUAAAUCCAGAUUUCUUUAUAUAUUUUAGUGUUCGCAUGCCUAAGACGAAUUAAACGCUUUAUGGCCAGGACAAAAUUUAAGAAUGUUAUGGAAAUAUCUCAUUUUGAAAUAAACCCA